UUUACAUAUAGAUAAAUAAACAAAAUACAUUCAACAGAUGCCGGACUGGCGGAUGCCGGAUUCAGGAUGAUCAGACAGAUUUUCUAGCAAAAACCGCAUGGAGGUUAAUUUGAUAGCGUAUAAGGAUGUACUAAGAGACGAUUAAAGGAAAAAACCUAAACAUAAUAAGCAAGAGAGACAUUACGCCCAGUCUUUUGAGAAGCAUGAUAAUAAUAGUGAUGGGAUAUGUUAUGAUGAUGA
rnacentral:lncRNA from 1 species